rnacentral:lncRNA from 1 species
ACCUCCACCGCCUCCACCUCCUUUUCCGUCACAGCUGCCCCCACUUCCUCCACCACCUGCAGGGCCACCUCCACCUACAGGCCCUCCUCCACCUGCAGGGCCUCCUCCACCUACAGUCCAUCCACCACCUAUGGGGCCUCCACCAUCUACGGGUCCUCCACCACCUAUGGGGCCUCCACCAUCUACGGGUCCUCCACCACCUAUGGGGCCUCCACCUCCAAUGGGCCCUCCACCUAGGGGUCCUCCACCGCUUAUGGGUCCUCCACCACCGACGGGGCCUCCACCACCCACAGGCCCUCCACCACCAAGGGGUCCACCACCUAUUGGGCCUCCACCACCUGCAGGGCCCCCACUACCUCCAGGCCCUCCACCCCCUCCUGGUCCCCCACCCCCUGCAAGCCAGCACCUACCUACAGGUCCUCCACCAUCACUGCUUUCUCAACCACCACUACCUCCUACACCGCAACUGCCACCUCCACCACAGUUACCACCUCCACCGCAACUACAACCUCAACCGCAACUACCACCUCAACCUCCAUUACUGCCAC